rnacentral:rRNA from 1 species
CCAGUAGUCAUAUGCUUGUCUUAAAGAUUAAGCCAUGCAUGUCUAAGUAUAAGCUUUUAUACGGCUAAACUGCGAAUGGCUCAUUAAAACAGUUAUAGUUUAUUUGAUGGUCUUUACUACAUGGAUAACCGUGGUAAUUCUAAGGCUAAUACAUGCGCACAUGCCUCUUCCCCUGGAAGGGCAGUGUUUAUUAGAUACAGAACCAACCCACCUUCCGGUGGUCCUCAGGUGAUUCAUAGUAACCGAACGGAUCGCGUUGACUUCGGUCUGCGACGGAUCAUUCAAGUUUCUGACCUAUCAGCUUUCGACGGUACUGUAUUGGACUACCGUGGCAGUGACGGGUAACGGGGAAUUAGGGUUCGAUUCCGGAGAGGGAGCCUGAGAAACGGCUACCACAUCUAAGGAAGGCAGCAGGCGCGCAAAUUACCCAAUCCUGAUUCAGGGAGGUAGUGACAAGAAAUAACAACACUGGAAAUUUCAUUUCUAGUGAUUGGAAUGAUAGGAAUCCAAACCCCUUUCAGAGUAACAAUUGGAGGGCAAGUCUGGUGCCAGCAGCCGCGGUAAUUCCAGCUCCAAUAGCGUAUAUUAAAGUUGUUGCAGUUAAAAAGCUCGUAGUUGGAUUUCUGCUGGAAGCAGCCAGUCCGCCCUCAGGGGUGUGCACUUGGUGAAUUCUAGCAUCCUUCUGGAUUUCUCCACACUUCAUUGUGUGGAGUUUUUUCCAGGACUUUUACUUUGAGAAAAUUAGAGUGUUUCAAGCAGGCUUGUCGCCUUGAAUACUGCAGCAUGGAAUAAUAAGAUAGGAUUUCGGCCCUAUUUUGUUGGUUUCUAGGACUGAAGUAAUGAUUAAUAGGGACGGUUGGGGGCAUUCGUAUUUAACUGUCAGAGGUGAAAUUCUUAGAUUUGUUAAAGACGAACUACUGCGAAAGCAUUUGCCAAAGAUGUUUUCAUUAAUCAAGAACGAAAGUUAGGGGCUCGAAGACGAUCAGAUACCGUCGUAGUCUUAACCAUAAACUAUGCCGACUAGAGAUAGGAAAACGUCAUGCUUGACUUCUCCUG